UGGGUCAGUGAUGAGCGUUAUCUCUUGUUUGGGUCUGACAACCAUGAGAUCAGCCCACAUGCAGCUCUGAGAACUA
ensembl:snoRNA Gm26252 predicted gene, 26252